rnacentral:tRNA from 18 species
CGCGGAGUGGAGAAGUUGGCAUCUCGCAAGGCUCAUAACCUUGAAAUCGCUGGUUCGAAUCCAGCCUCCGCCACCA